rnacentral:snRNA from 1 species
AUCUCUUCUCGGCCUUUUGGCUAAGAUCAAGUGUAGUAUCUGUUCUUGUCAGUUUAAUAUCUGAGAUGUCCUCUAUCCGAGGACAAUAUAUUAAAUGGAUUUUUGGAGCAGGGAGAUGGAAUAAGAGUUUGUUCCGUCCACUCCACACAUUGACCUGGUAUUGCAGUACUUCCAGGAACGGUGCACCUCCU